rnacentral:rRNA from 1 species
AAGUCGAACGAUGAAGCCCUUCGGGGUGGAUUAGUGGCGAACGGGUGAGUAACACGUGGGCAAUCUGCCCUUCACUCUGGGACAAGCCCUGGAAACGGGGUCUAAUACCGGAUACCACUCCUGUCCGCAUGGGCAGGGGUUGAAAGCUCCGGCGGUGAAGGAUGAGCCCGCGGCCUAUCAGCUUGUUGGUGGGGUAAUGGCCCACCAAGGCGACGACGGGUAGCCGGCCUGAGAGGGCGACCGGCCACACUGGGACUGAGACACGGCCCAGACUCCUACGGGAGGCAGCAGUGGGGAAUAUUGCACAAUGGGCGAAAGCCUGAUGCAGCGACGCCGCGUGAGGGAUGACGGCCUUCGGGUUGUAAACCUCUUUCAGCAGGGAAGAAGCGAAAGUGACGGUACCUGCAGAAGAAGCGCCGGCUAACUACGUGCCAGCAGCCGCGGUAAUACGUAGGGCGCAAGCGUUGUCCGGAAUUAUUGGGCGUAAAGAGCUCGUAGGCGGCUUGUCACGUCGGAUGUGAAAGCCCGAGGCUUAACCUCGGGUCUGCAUUCGAUACGGGCUAGCUAGAGUGUGGUAGGGGAGAUCGGAAUUCCUGGUGUAGCGGUGAAAUGCGCAGAUAUCAGGAGGAACACCGGUGGCGAAGGCGGAUCUCUGGGCCAUUACUGACGCUGAGGAGCGAAAGCGUGGGGAGCGAACAGGAUUAGAUACCCUGGUAGUCCACGCCGUAAACGUUGGGAACUAGGUGUUGGCGACAUUCCACGUCGU